UGAACGCUAGCGGCAGGCUAACACAUGCAAGUCGAGGGGCAUCGGGAGUAGCAAUACUGCCGGCGACCGGCGCAAGGGUGCGUAACGCGUGAGCAACAUGCCCGUAUCAGGGGGAUAAUCCAUGGAAACGUGGUCUAAUACCCCAUAGUAAUUAUGUAAGGCAUCUUAUGUAAUUUAAAGCUUUGGUGGAUACGGAUUGGCUCGCGUGACAUUAGCUGGAUGGUAAGGUAACGGCUUACCAUGGCUACGAUGUCUAGGGGUUCUGAGAGGAAGGUCCCCCACACUGGAACUGAGACACGGUCCAGACUCCUACGGGAGGCAGCAGUGAGGAAUAUUGGACAAUGGAUGGAAAUCUGAUCCAGCCAUGCCGCGUGCAGGAAGAACCGGCCCUAUGGGUUGUAAACUGCUUUUGUAUGGGAGCAAUAAGGGCUACGUGCAGUCCGAUGAGAGUACCAUACGAAUAAGCACCGGCUAACUCCGUGCCAGCCGCAGC
rnacentral:rRNA from 1 species